rnacentral:lncRNA from 1 species
GGAAAGGCCGGGUGGAAAACUCGCCUCAGAUUGGCCUCCUGAAGGGCAAGGGAGCCCUCGAUUCUCCAACCUCCACCCCUCAGUGAUCGAGGGCUGCUCCCUGAGCCUUAACUCCCAGCUUUCUGUCCUGCCUGCGAGUAGAUCCAGCCGGCUCAUGUGGCCAGAGGACACCUGAGGCUCAUCAGACGAGCAACUUGGAAAGACCUCUGCAGACCAGAAGGAAGGGCAUCUCAUCAGAUAAACAUGUGCAACAAAUACUGUGGGCCACGGCUCUAAACUCAGUCCGAGUCCUCUGAUGUGCUUCGUGGACACGCCGAGAGGGACUGCCUUCAUGCAGCUGUGGAUGACGCAGCAAGAAGGCAGCCAGAGAGCCCUCACCAAACACCAGCUCUGCCCGCACCUUGAUCUUGGGCUUCCCAGUUUCCAGAACUGUGGGAAAUAAAUGUCUAUUGCUGAAGCCACCCAGCCCAUGGCAUUUUGUUA